CGCGUAGGCGGCUUGAUAAGAUGGGUGUGAAAUCCCCGGGCUUAACCUGGGAACUGCAUCCAUAACUGUCUGGCUAGAGUACAGUAGAGGGUGGUGGAAUUUCCUGUGUAGCGGUGAAAUGUGUAGAUAUAGGAAGGAACACCAGUGGCGAAGGCGACCACCUGGACUGAUACUGACGCUGAGGUGCGAAAGCGUGGGGAGCAAACA
rnacentral:rRNA from 1 species